rnacentral:tRNA from 1 species
GCUGCGAUCGCAUAACUCGGUAGUGCGCUGGCCUUGAGAGCCAGUUUCCUUAGGGAUUUCCCGGUUCAAAUCCGGGUCGCAGCG